rnacentral:rRNA from 1 species
AUGACCCUUGUCAAAGCGGUGCUCACGGCUGUGGCAAUCUACCAUCUUACACCGCAUGACCUUCCGAUGGAGGUGCUUAGGAAGAUUGACUCCUUGCGGCGUGCCUAUCUUUGGGCUGGUUCGGACAAGGUGUCCAGUGGCAAGUGUAAAAUCAAUUGGGAGCUAGUCUGCAAGCCUAAGGAGUUUAUGGGCCUCGGAAUUCUUAACCUUGGGAAGUUCGCUACUGCGUUGCACUUAAGAUGGUUGUGGCUUGAGUGGGAUGACCCUCCGAGAGCUUGG